UACGGCCUCUCCCUAUGUUUUGGCAAUCUUAGCACGGACAUAUGCCAAGAAUGUGUCACCUUGGCGGUAGAGAAAAUCGUCCAACUAUGUCCUAUCGAGAACGUGGCCAUGAUAUGGUAUGCUGAUUGCUUCCUGCGUUAUUCAAACCAACCUAUCUUAUCCGUCAGGGUACUGGACCCGAUGAUAUAUAUGUGGAAUACACAGAAUGUCACAGACCAAGAACGUUUUAACGAGCUACUGGAG
rnacentral:misc_RNA from 1 species